CCUACGGGGGGCAGCAGUGGGGAAUAUUGGGCAAUGGGCGCAAGCCUGACCCAGCAACGCCGCGUGAAGGAAGAAGGCUUUCGGGUUGUAAACUUCUUUUAAGAGGGAAGAGCAGAAAACGGUACCUCUUGAAUAAGCCACGGCUAACUACGUGCCAGCAGCCGCGGUAAUACGUAGGUGGCAAGCGUUGUCCGGAUUUAGUGGGGGUAAAGGGCUUGCAGCCGGGAAGACAAGUCAGAGGUGAAAUCCCGCGGCUCAACCGGGGAACUGCCUUUGAAACUGGUAAUCUUGAGUGCGGGAGAGGUCAGCGGAAUUCCAGGUGUAGCGGUGAAAUGCGUAGAUAUAAGGAAGAACACCAGUGGCGAAGGCGGAUGACUGGACGGCAACUGACGGUGAGGCGCGAAAGCGUGGGGAGCAAACAGGAUUAGAUACCCUUGUAGUC
rnacentral:rRNA from 1 species